rnacentral:rRNA from 1 species
UCCGGNUCUUCCGCGCCGUAGCUAACGCAUAAAGUGCCCCGCCUGGGGAGUACGGCCGCAAGGCUAAAACUCAAAGGAAUUGACGGGGGCCCGCACAAGCGGCGGAGCAUGCGGAUUAAUUCGAUGCAACGCGAAAAACCUUACCAAGGCUUGACAUGUGCCGGUCGGCUCCGGAGACGGGGCUUCCUCCUUGUGGGGCCGGUUCACAGGUGGUGCAUGGUUGUCGUCAGCUCGUGUCGUGAGAUGUUGGGUUAAGUCCCGCAACGAGCGCAACCCUUGUCCCGUGUUGCCAGCACGUUGUGGUGGGGACUCGCGGGAGACUGCCGGGGUCAACUCGGAGGAAGGUGGGGAUGACGUCAAAUCAUCAUGCCCCUUAUGUCUUGGGCUUCACGCAUGCUACAAUGGCCGGUACAGAGGGCUGCGAUACCGUGAGGUGGAGCGAAUCCCUUAAAGCCGGUCUCAGUUCGGAUCGGUGUCUGCAACUCGACACCGUGAAGUUGGAGUCGCUAGUAAUCGCAGAUCAGCAACGCUGCGGUGAAUACGUUCUCGGGCCUUGUACACACCGCCCGUCACGUCACGAAAGUCGGCAACACCCGAAGCCCGUGGCCCUAC